AACAGGAAAUGGGCUGACACAUUUCCAUCAGGAAGGCAAACGGGCGUGUCAGAUUCUUGAAAGGCCAACUACCUGGAGCUGCAGGGUAGGACUAAGGAUCAAGCAGGAAGCUGGCACAGGGCAGAGCUAAGAAUUCAGCCAGAGAAGUGUGUGGAAUAACGAACGGGUUCUCUAAAAAUGUCCUCUAACGUUAUGACUCAGUGGGGAAACUGUACUUCUACAAGCCUGAUGACCCAAGUUCAAACCCUAGG